CGUCUCAAAGCUGGCCACGGACGAGGGAAGAAGGGUGCCAGGAAGCCAGCCCGAAGCAAGAGAGUUCGCCAGGGUUCCACGGCGUCGGCCUGGGAGAACGAGCGGGUGACCAUGAUGGGCGCCGAAGUGGACUACGCCGCCGAGGCGCUGAACUCGACUCCAGCAGCAGUCCAGGCCGCUGGCCGACACCGACGCGCCAAGACGACGGUCCGCA
rnacentral:lncRNA from 1 species